rnacentral:rRNA from 1 species
UACGAAGGGGGCUAGCGUUGCUCGGAAUCACUGGGCGUAAAGGGUGCGUAGGCGGGUCUUUAAGUCAGGGGGGAAAUCCUGGAGCUCAACUCCAGAACUGCCUUUGAUACUGAGGAUCUUGAGUUCGGGAGAGGUGAGUGGAACUGCGAGUGUAGAGGUGAAAUUCGUAGAUAUUCGCAAGAACACCAGUGGCGAAGGCGGCUCACUGGCCCGAUACUGACGCUGAGGCACGAAAGCGUGGGGAGCAGACAGG